rnacentral:sRNA from 2 species
AUGUACCACUCGUACACUCCGGUUCCUGCGCGUCGUCCGCACCCACCUGACAACUGCUCGCUACGUUUUGUCAGCC